CCCGUGACUUUGGCUGGACGACACGCGCACAUCGGAUUCCGGGGCAUUCCACGGAGAUCAGGAUCGGGCUCAGUUGCGCGAACCUGUCUUGGUAAAUAAAGAUUACUACUACCUAACCAGCUGGCGAUGUAUCGAGAUGGGAUUGGAGAUGCCGACUACUAGGAGAAGCCAACAGGACAUCGGUGACGGGGAUGAUGAGCACAGUGGGACGAAUCGAACCGUUCGAAGAGGCGUCUGGACUUACGCUGAACAAGUGGAACAGUUCUUCAUCGCAAAUGCUGUCACGUAUAAAAGGAAGUUAGUGCAAGUGCUCAAGGAUCAACAAACCAGGAGGGUGCAAGCAAGCUGGUGGAACGGUGUGAGCGGCAACAUUUCUUUGAGUCUGAGGAAGGACAAAAUACAGAAAACAAGGAACGAAGUGGACGACACUGGAUCAUUUCUUCCCGAAGCCUCUAGUCACUGCGGGCCGUUUCCGUUUUCACACGAGGAAUCAGAAAGAGGGACAGACCGUUCUGGAGUUCAUAGCCGAGAUUAAAAGGUUGCAAUGGCCCAGG